CUCGGCUCUCGCAUCGAUGAAGAACGUAGCGAAAUGCGAUACUUGGUGUGAAUUGCAGAAUCCCGUGAACCAUCGAGUCUUUGAACGCAAGUUGCGCCCGAAGCCGUCAGGCCGAGGGCACGUCUGCCUGGGCGUCACGCAUCGCGUCGCCCCCAAUGCUUGGCC
rnacentral:rRNA from 1 species